rnacentral:lncRNA from 1 species
AUGAUUCUUAAGAGCAUCAAAUCCUUGUUUAGAGCAUCAAAUCUUUCUUCAGAGCAUCAAACCCUUCUUUAUAGCAUCAAACCCUUCUUUAUAGCAUCAAAUUCCUUCUUUAGAGCAUCAAAUUCCUUCUUUAGAGCAUCAAAAUCAAUCUUCAGAGCAUCAGCCCCUCUUGCUGAGCUUGCCAGGGCCCGGCCCCUGCCCGGUGUCGCUGUCCCUGGGCUGUCUGAGGGCCUGGAUGUGCUGACAGGGUGGUGCUGCCUCACUGAUCCCUGGGAUCUUUGCAGAUUAAAUGAUUCUGGGAUUGUUCUGGUUUGUGACAUCCCACCUGCAGCACUGAUCACACAAGGAUUCCACGUCCAUUUUGCUGGAAAGAAAUCUGUCCCAAAAGGAAUUCAGUGACCUCCAAGGCCACGACACUUUGCUCAGCCUCUCACACUGUGGGCUGUCAUUGCAGGGAGCAGCAAAAUCCUUUUUUCCACCAGGAAAAAACCCCAGAUUCAGAUAGGCUGCGUCCAACUCUGGGAAUGUUUGGCACAGUUCAGCUCCUCUGCUGUGACCAAGCACAAACCAAACUGCAGGGCCACCAACCCAGGGCCUUUGGUGACCUGGUGGGUGCAGUGAAAUAAAAUGACAACAAACAAAUACA